ACCGCGAAAGCUGCUGCCUCCUGCCGCCUUGCCUCCUCUGUCGUGAUGGGAAGCAGCCGCUGGAACUGUGAGCUAGAAUAAACCCUCUCCUUCCUCAAGCUGCUUCUGGUCAAGUGUUUGGUCACAGCAACAAGAAAAGAACCUUGAUUGACCCAGGUGCCCCCCAAGGCUACAAAGGUGAAUUGUACAAUAGCCGAACACCUAAAAACCCGACUGCUCCCCUGAGCAGCCAGGGCGGCUUGCUUAACCCAUCCUGUGCUCGGACUGCGGAACACAGUUUUGGUUUGUCAAUGACAAGAAUGUGCGAUGGGCUGCCGAACCUGAGAGAGCUGCCGCCUGGCCUGGCCUGCUGCUAUUACUGGUUGACUUUGACUUUGGAAAGAGGAAUUCUGGUUCUCCAUUUUGAGUGGCAUUGUACAGAAAUUUAUGGUUAUAUUGAUCCAGAAACAUCAAACUAAUUUAUUUUUUUCAAUUUGUAUGGGGUAUCACACCCUGUUGAAUAUGUAAAGUCUUAUCUGCGUGGAUUUGAUUAAAAUAGAAUAAUGUCUUCUCAAAAUAAAUUUAAGUCUGCAUGCCUA